rnacentral:rRNA from 1 species
GACGUAGGGCGCGAGCGUUGUCCGGAUUUAUUGGGCGUAAAGAGCUCGUAGGCGGCUUGUCGCGUCGACUGUGAAAACCCGUGGCUCAACCAUGUGGUCUGCAGUCGAUACGGGCAGGCUAGAAUUCGGUAGGGGAGACUGGAAUUCCUGGUGUAGCGGUGAAAUGCGCAGAUAUCAGGAGGAACACCUGCGGCGAAGGCGGGUUGCUGGGCCGACACUGACGCUGAGGCGCGAAAGCCAGGGGAGCGAACGGG